rnacentral:lncRNA from 1 species
GUUUUUGGCAACCAUCUAACUCAUCCAUCAAAACUACAAUCAUUUAUUCCUUAAUCUUAAGAAUUUCUCUCUACAUAAAAUCUAAUACUUAAAAUCAAUAAAGACUCUCAAUUCUAAGGAUUGGGACCUUAUUGCAUUUAUAAUUCAUCCAUGCACUAAUUUUCUGCUGGAAUUAAAUCAAUGGUAGAAAUAAGAAACAAAAUAUAUUCUUGUAUGAUUGCGUUCAUUUCUCGUGGAUCUCUUGCUAAGUUAGAGACAAGAACUAUGUUGCAGUGACUAGAAUAUUUAUAGGAGUAAUGAUUAUUGAAUCACUAUUUUGACAUUUGGAAGGGUGUGUAAAGUAAAAUUUGAUUUUUUUUUUCAAAAUUUAUUAAAGGAUGUUCCCUAAUUUAUAUUACCCCUUUUAUUCAUGAUUUAUUUUACAUUUCACAAAUUACAAUAAUAUAACAGCCCAAUACAGCACCUUUGAUAAUUACCACGUUCGAUAAAAUUGUAAAUACGAAUAAAUUAAUAAUUGGCUCUCAUUAGAUAUCAAGCGGGGUUUAAAUAACUCUUACUAACUUUUAAACUAUUCAAUCGGUCAGCAAUCGGUCUCAUUUCCUUUGUUACCGAAUGCAAACCAGCUAAUUCAAAUUUUCACCUGAAUGUUCGCGCUACACGUGGCAAGACCAAAACUGUAACUUGUAAAAUCAAGAUUUGUUACCUACAUUUUUUGAAACGUAACAAGGUCCAUAUAUAUAUAUAUAUAUAUAUAUGUGUGUGUGUGUGUUUGCGCGCGUGCGCUUAAAAAAUUAAUGUCAAUAAAAAAUCUUUAAAACAUCUUAAAUUAUGAGAAGAUUCUAAUCUCAAUCUCUAAAAAUAAUUGAAUGAUGUGAUAAUCUAAAUUAUGUAUACAAUUUUUGUCUUUUAAACCUGUCUGUUUUCUUAAUAUCGCAAUAUGUAAGAUAAUAUAAAUAUCAGUAAAUAUAUAGGAAGCAUUGUCAUUUUGCUAUCACACUCGUGAGAGUAUUUAAAAUUUCAGUGUCAAUAAUGAGUCAAUAAUAUGUCCACCGUCAAAACAUAAAGUGAUAUGCAAAUAAAUAUACAGAUUGUAAUAAAAAAAUUAAUUUGUUAUAAUCUCAUCCAAAUAAACAAUCGAGCAAGUCGGAAGAUAUUUUAUAAACAAAUGUGAAUUGGGUUUGUACUUGUACCUCUCUAGUGGCAUUGAAAUUUUAACUAGUAAUCCCACAUUAUUUCUGAAAUGGCCUCCAUUAAAAUUAAAUAGACCAAUUUUCAAUCCCCACUUGGCAUUUGCAAAUAUCUGCAAACAUUUGCCUUGUCUUGUUGUUUCUUUUAAUAUCCUAUUUUACAUGGAAGUGAAAUCCAACAAAAAUUCCACUAAAAUCUAUAAUGUAGACAAAGGGUUAUUUUUAAAUACCUCCUUUAUUGUUAAUAUAAGUACCUGUAUAACAUUAGUAUACGGGGGUAAACUUGUAAAAGACUUCUUGAACUUAAAAAAUAAAAUAAAAUCAAAACUUAAAUAAAAAUUGCUUUCAAAAACACGUAAAACCCCUAUUAGAUAACUCUAUUACCCGAUAUAAUUUAAUACCCAAUGAGUAGAAGACUAAUUUUUCUUUUUCAUCAAACAAAACUCAAGCAAAAUGGCCUCACUUUUAUAUCAAGAUUUAGAAUCAUUUCCACUGUACUCCCCUACUUAAGCUGUUCUAACCAAAACAAAUCAUCACAAAUUUCAAAUAACCCAUGAAUGAUACAAGCUUGGUAUGCGAAAUUUAAGAGAAACACAAGCCGACUCAUUUGGAACGGUUAACUGCUUGGUUGGCAGUGAGUUUGCCAAAUCCAAGUAGCUAACCGUUUGGAAGGUAGAAAUUCUGCCAAGCUAUAUGGAAUUGGCUAACUAUUCACGGUUUUGGCUCUUUCUCUUCAUAUUCUUCGUGGUUUCAACCUCUCUCCGAAACACACCUCUCUCUCACACACACUAGAAUCCACAAUGUUACUGUGUUUUUCUUACUUAUUCAUGUUUCUAAAUCUCAUUCAUCACUCAAAAACAUCCAUUAUCAUCACCCAAACAAGAUUUUCCACUCAAAACUCGAAAAUCCCAAAAUCAAAAUCUCAGUUCGGCCGAAACUAUUUCUUCAAAUUUGACCCGUCCUUGGCUCCUUUUUUUUUUUUUAAAAAAAAAAAAAAUCAAAUCGAACCCACAUAUUGCCUCAGCACACUCAUAUACUCACUUUAAUCGGUUUACUUCCACAAAUUUUGAUCAAAAUUUUGAAAUUUUAAAAUUGGGCAUUCGUGGUUGUGUGGCAAUACUAUGAUUAGUGAUGAACGUUCAAGAGGUGGUAAGAGGCGAAAACACGUGGUGUCGAGGUGAAGCCAACUACAAGAAGACCUCCUGAAUUUUGAAUCUAUUCAUUUGCUUAGUAACCCAAAAAAAAUAUUUUGGUCAAUUUGUCAGUCCACUAAUAAUCAACUUCUACUCAUAUUAGGGGAAAAUAAGUGAGAAUACAAAGAAACACGCCAUGUAAGUAUAAUUAUCCCAAACCUCAGGAGAGGUAUUUAAAAAUAACCCUUUAAACAAGUCACCUCAGUCCGCCUACGAAUGAAACGGUCAAAGGUCAAUCCCACGUCUCAUAAUCUUGCGGGACAGUCCAAUUAAAAUAUAUGUGGGGAUGAAGAGGAAAAGUUGGCCUCUAAUACCACUCGAGAUGCGAUGUUGAAUGUGGUCGUGAAAUGGGCGAUGUUCAAUUUGUAAGGGCUCGCGGUACAACGAAUAAGAAAGGUGACACUUUGUGAUAGUAACAGUGUGUCUUUGAAAUUCAAUGUGAGGAAGAUUCGUAGAAUGUAAGAGCAUCAUUUGCAGAAGCUCAGAAGCAAUUGCUAACUUUCCUUUCAAGUCAACAUUAGUUAUGUCGGCCUGUUUUCUUUUCUUCUUCUUUUUUUUUUUUUAAAAAACUACAGUAAUACAUCAAAUUUGUGCUAAAAAAAGUGUAUAUAAAUUUUUAUGUGAAGGAACUAUACUAUCCCUAUUUCAUACUCUAGCCAUAAUAAUAAUAAU